rnacentral:rRNA from 1 species
CCUACGGGAGGCAGCAGUGGGGAAUAUUGGACAAUGGGCGAAAGCCUGAUCCAGCCAUGCCGCGUGUGUGAAGAAGGCCUUCGGGUUGUAAAGCACUUUCAGUGGGGAAGAAAGCCUUGGGGCUAAUACCCUCGAGGAAGGACAUUACCCACAGAAGAAGCACCGGCUAACUCCGUGCCAGCAGCCGCGGUAAUACGGAGGGUGCGAGCGUUAAUCGGAAUUACUGGGCGUAAAGCGCGCGUAGGCGGUCUGAUAAGCCGGUUGUGAAAGCCCCGGGCUCAACCUGGGAACGGCAUCCGGAACUGUCAGGCUAGAGUGCAGGAGAGGAAGGUAGAAUUCCCGGUGUAGCGGUGAAAUGCGUAGAGAUCGGGAGGAAUACCAGUGGCGAAGGCGGCCUUCUGGACUGACACUGACGCUGAGGUGCGAAAGCGUGGGUAGCAAACAGGAUUAGAUACCCUGGUAGUC